CGCCUGUUUAUCAAAAACAUCUCUUCUCGUUAGUUUUUGAAGUAUGGCCUGCCCACUGACCUUGAAUGUUGAAGGGCCGCGGUAUUUUGACCGUGCAAAGGUAGCAUAGUCAUUAGUUCUUUAAUUGUGAUCUGGUAUGAAUGGCUUGACGAGGCAUGAGCUGUCUUAAUUUUGAAUUGUUUAUUGAAUUUGGUCUUUGAGUUAAAAUUCUUAGAUGUUUUUAUGGGACGAGAAGACCCUAUAGAGUUUUACAUUUAUUAUGGUCUCUUUCUGUUUGUGAGGGUUCACUAGGGCUGUUUAAUAUGUUUUGUUGGGGUGAUGGGAGGGAUAUUGUUUAACCCCUCCUUUAUGUUGUUAUAUUUAUUUAUAUUUGCUUGAUCCAUUUAUUUUGAUUGUAAGAUUAAAUUACCUUAGGGAUAACAGCGUAA
rnacentral:rRNA from 1 species